rnacentral:rRNA from 1 species
CCUACGGGAGGCAGCAGUGGGGAAUAUUGGGCAAUGGGCGCAAGCCUGACCCAGCAACGCCGCGUGAAGGAAGAAGGCUUUCGGGUUGUAAACUUCUUUUCUCGGGGACGAAGCAAGUGACGGUACCUGAGGAAUAAGCCACGGCUAACUACGAGCCAGCAGCCGCGGUAAUACGUAGGUGGCAAGCGUUAUCCGGAUUUACUGGGUGUAAAGGGCGUGUAGGCGGGACUGCAAGUCAGAUGUGAAAAUCACGGGCUCAACCUGUUGCCUGCAUUUGAAACUGUAGUUCUUGAGUACUGGAGAGGCAUACGGAAUGCCUAGGGUAGCGGUGAAAUGCGUAGAUAUUAGGAGGAACACCAGUUGCGAAGGCGGUCUGCUGGACAGCAACUGACGCUGAGGCGCGAAAGCGUGGGGAGCAAACAGGAUUAGAUACCCGUGUAGUC